rnacentral:rRNA from 1 species
AGCCCCCUUCUCUCCCACUUCUUUUAAAUAUAAACUAAAAUAUUUUAGCAGUCUAGUAAAGAAGAUUAAAAAACUACUAAGAGCUACAAACCUGUACCGCAAGGGAAAGGUGAAAUAAAAAUGAAAUAAAUCUUAAGCACAAAAAAGCAAAGACUCAACCUUGUACCUUUUGCAUCAUGGUUUAGCUAGUCUAAUUAGGCAAAAAGACCUUAAGUCUAACCCCCCGAAAUUAAGUGAGCUAAUUUGGGGCCGCUUUAUGAGCCCACCCGUCUAUGUUGCAAAAUAGUGGGGAGACCCCAAAAUAGAAGUGACAGACUUAACGAACUUAAUGAUAGCUGGUUUCUCAAGAAAAGAAUCUAGUUCAGCAUAAAAUAACAUUAACCAACAUAAUUACCCCUUAUUUUAAAGCAAUUCAAAUGAGGUACAGCCCAUUUGACACAGGACUCAACCUUUACUAACGGGUAAUACCCAAUUCACAUCCUAAAGUGGGCCUAAUAGCAGCCACCUUUAAAAAAGCGUCAAAGCUUAAUUUGUAAAUCUUAAUCCUCAUACCUCAACUCACCCCUUUUUCAGUACUGAGAACCUCUAUAAUUUUAUAGAGCCUUUUAUGCUAAAACUAGUAACAAGAGACACCCCCUCUCCUUAAUGCAAAUUUAACCCAGUAAGAACUAAUCACUGGCAAUUAACAGGACUAAGUAGAUGUAGUAACUUCACUAGAAAACCCUACACUAUCUCACUGUUAACCUAACACCAGAACAUUACAAGAAAGAUUAAAAGAAAAAGAAGGAAUUCAGCAAAUCAUAGCCCCGCCUGUUUACCAAAAACAUCGCCUCUUGCCCAAUAUUAGAGGUCUCGCCUGCCCAGUGACCCUGUUCAACGGCCGCGGUAUCCUAACCGUGCGAAGGUAGCGUAAUCACUUGUCUUUUAAAUAAAGACCAGUAUGAAAGGCAUCACGAGGGCUAAACUGUCUCCUUUUUCCAAUCAGUGAACCUAAUCUCCCCGUGAAGAAGCGGGGAUGCCCAAAUAAGACAG